UACAGAGGUCCCAAGCGUUGUUCGGAUUCACUGGGCGUAAAGGGUGCGUAGGCGGUCGGGUAAGUCUGAUGUGAAAUCUCCAAGCUCAACUUGGAAAUGGCAUCGGAUACUAUUCGGCUCGAGGAAUGGAGGGGAGACUGGAAUACUUGGUGUAGCAGUGAAAUGCGUAGAUAUCAAGUGGAACACCAGUGGCGAAGGCGGCUUGCCAGAAUGCGCUCGACGGUGAGGGAUGAAAGCUGGGGGAGCAAACCGG
rnacentral:rRNA from 1 species